CUUAAUCUUUUUAUUGCCAUAUCGUCCUGCAGCUGUGCUGCUUCCUUUCAUGUGUCGUCACAAACUGCCUCAGCGGGGAGGAGAAACUGGAGCUCCUCCUUCAUGAAGAUGGUUUGAUAAAAACAGGCAGUCACUCCAAACUCGGUAGAGUUCAAGCAGAGGAACCGUAAAACAAUAAAGAAAUGUUGAUCGCUGUCUUCCUGAGCGUUUAUUUCAACUGGAUUCUGCUCCCAGGCUCUUCUGGGAGUCAGCAGGUGUUUCAGACUCCUACCAGCGUCUUCAGUAGAUCAGGUGGGACGGCCAACAUCAACUGUUCACACAAUGUUCAAAACUACAACCAGAUCCUCUGGUACAAGCAACAAGCCAGUGGACUGCUCCUCCUGGGAUACGUCUACUACAAGGACGCCUACACAGAGAAAGGGCUGGACGUAAAGAUGACCGGGAGCGCAGAUAAAGAUCAGCAGUGCAUGUUGACAGUAGAAAGGCUCGACUCUAACGGCAGCGGGGUUUACUUCUGCGCUGCCAGUCGCCACAGUAACACAACCCACCGAUCUGUCAGUACAAAAACCUCUCAACCAGGUUUAAAUGUGCGACUCCAGACUCAAAGCCACAGAAACCCAGAAUAACUGUAACUUGGUGUUUCGUCUCACAUUGACAAAUUAUUUCCCUGGAGGUUCUCUGGUGGCUUUAAGAUGUUUUUCAGAGAAAAUAAGUAAAUAUAUUAUGUUCUGGUUGAGGCAGUUCAAUUACAAGUAUACAUUUAGUCCUACAGAUUUGUCUGUUCUAGAAACAAUAAGACAACCUGAACAGUUGUGCAGUGAUCUUCCUGAGUCUCAGAAAUAAAUUGCCUUAUUAUAAAUAAAAUGCUUCUGUUCAUUUCUAAAUUACUGACUGGCGUAGCGCCAAAAUACAUUAAAGACAUGUUGUCAUCGUAUCAACCUUCCAGACCUCUCAG